CAGCACCUCAAAUCAUACAGGAGUACCCGCUGAACUUAAGCAUAUCAAUAAGCGGAGGAAAAGAAACUAACAAGGAUUCCCCUAGUAACGGCGAGUGAAGCGGGAAAAGCUCAAAUUUGAAAUCUCCCACCAGGGCGAAUUGUAGUUUAAAGAGUCGCAAUCGAAGACAGGACGUGCACAAGUUCUUUGGAACGAGACAUCAGAGAGGGUGAGAAUCCCGUGGAUGGUGCGUCUGUGUUUUUGUGUGAUGCGUGCUCGAAGAGUCGGUUUGUUUGGGAAUGCAGACCAAAUGGGUGGUAAAUAGCAUCCAAGGCUAAAUAUUGGCGAGAGACCGAUAGCGAACAAGUACCGUGAGGGAAAGAUGAAAAGAACUUUGAAAAGAGAGUUAAAAGUGCGUGAAAUUGUCAAAAGGGAAACGUUUGGAACCAGUUGGGACUGGACAAAGCAUGCCAUUGGUGUGUGGUCGGACAGUCUGGGCCAGCUGCGGUUUAGUGUGGGUGAAAAUGCGAAGGGAAGGUAGCCAUUGGUGUUAUAGCCCUGC
rnacentral:rRNA from 1 species